CCACUCCUCACCUUUGCCAUGCUUCCAUGUGGGAGGAGUGUACUUCCUGGCCCAUCAGGAAGCUUGGCCAAGGGACUCGCCUUAGCCAAUGGAAUGAGAGCAAAUGUACACCACAUCUAAGCAGAAGCUUUAAAUGUACUUGAAUCGUUUGGGUCAACCUCUUUGUUCCUACCCUCUGCUAUGAGAAGAGUGUUCCAGAGAGGGGCUGCUCCUCCAGCCUACAUCCUGGGAUGGAAAGAAAUGUGGAGCUCAGCAGAGCCCAAAGCAAGCCAGAGCUGACCUACAGAACUGGAAACCAGAAGUAAUGUCAGGAGAGGCUUUCCCAUCUGAAAGAUAAUGAAACACCUGCUAUUCCUGAGGAGUCCACUAGAGGAUGAGACUCAUCCAGCCAUCCAACCGAGAGAUAAGUGGGGAAACUUUGGCAAAAGGACUGUUGAAAGAAUGCUGCCAAUCGCCAGAGGCAGACAUGUUUAUCAGGCUGUGUAUCUUGAAGUCUGACAGAAAAUCUGUGGCCUUUGGUACAGCUGAAAAACACUCUGUCAACACCAUGGAGAGUGCAAGCCCGUUGUGCUGGCCUCAACCCAAGGAGUGCAGGGGAAUGGACAAAAAUUUGACUCAAGGCCAAAAAUUACAAGAGGAGGGAAAGUCAGACUUGAGGCAAACAAGCCUUUUCCAUCGGGUCUGUUUAAUAUCUCGUUGAGCUUACUGCAACUACUACCCUACCAAAGUCACUGACUUCAGUAAACCAUGGCUCAGCCAUAUGAUGAAUCAUCCAGAUGAUCAAAAUUAUUCUUAUGAAGAGCUUUUAACAACAAAUACAGAUACUUGUGAUAUAACACUGUGAACAAAAGCAAGAUAUACAAGGGCAUUUGCAGUAUAAUGACAACUAUGAAACCGAUCCACAUACGAGAACAGCAAUACUCCAAAACUUCAAAAGGUGAUUAGCUAUAGAUGGUGGGAUUCUAGAUGAUUUUUGUUAUUUUCUAGACCUUGUAUUGAGUAUUCUAUAGUAAGUAUGGAUUCAUUUUUAUAAUUAAAAAUAUAUUUUUAAAUGGAAUAAAAUCUAUAAAAGGCAUCACCUACUUCUUUCAAAGGUCACAUAUUCCUUAAUCAUGGCUUGAAGCCUCAGAGCUAAAAUGGCAGUGUUCAAAAUAUACAUCUGCUUUAGAACCUAUUUUCUUCAAUCUUUCCUAUGAUACUUAAAAUUUCAUAGACCUUCACAGAAAUGUGGGAGGAAAUCUGUUAGUGACUUUGUACACGCACCCAGAUGAUCUGGAACUGGUACUCUCCAGUGAAGCAGCCACUGGUCACUGAGGCUACCAAGCACUCGAAAUGUGUCUGGUCCAAGCUGAGAUGAGCUCUGAGAAUGAAAUACACACCAGCUAUUGAAUAUAUGGGAAGGGGCAAAAAAUGUAAAAUAUCUCAAUACUAACUUUAUAUUGAUUACAUGUUGAAGUGAUAUUUUUGAGAUAUUGCAUUUAAUGAAAAAUACUAUUAAAUAAUUUCACCUUUUUUUUAAUGUGUAAUAUAAUGUAAUAUGUAAAAUGAGCUAUGUAGCUCACAUUAGCGCUCUUUUGGACUGAAAUACUCUAGAAAAAAAUUCUGCAGAAGUGUGCUUCGAUUAUCCAUCUAUCAUCUUUCAGAAACAUGCAGGAUCUGAAUACACACAGAUUGCUUGCCCAAGCCAGAUCUAUGGCCCCCAGUAAAAUGUAUUCUCCUGCCCCUCUUCCAAGUUGUAUCACACUUUUAGUGGUCAGACAAUUUCAGUUAUUUCCAAGCGCAGACGAAUUGAGGCCAGUUCGAUGAACAGCACUUACAGGCUGCACCUAACAGCCGUCUUGCCUUUCUUCAGACUGACACGGCCCACAGAGCUCAGAAUUCUCUAACUCCCUAACAUCUGCCUCUGUUCCCAUGGAUUCACUCACACAUCUGUGUAACACUUCAUUCAAAGGACACAGUCCCCAUUUGAGACAGCCUCAAAUAUUCACAGCUCCCAAAAGGCUGUGCCAAAGAAACUUCCUCCGUGUAGCUGUAGGCCAUCUCUCAAAGUGCCCUUGGUGUGAGGGGACUGAAAAUUAUUGCUCUUCAAAAGGGCAGGGGAAAAUGAAAGGAAGGAUUAUAUCUGCCUGAACUGCCAAACCAAACUCUGAGAAGCAGAUUCUCCAGAGAGUGACUCAGGCCCACAUGAUGUUUGUUGGGGAUGAUGUUUUCACUGGGAGGCGAAGUGUGCAUUUGCUUAUCUGGCCAAAGGCUACUCAACUUAUGUGGCCAGCCCACCCCACAGCAAACGUG
rnacentral:lncRNA from 1 species